rnacentral:rRNA from 1 species
UACGUAGGUGGCAAGCGUUGUCCGGAUUUACUGGGCGUAAAGAGCGCGCAGGCGGUUAUUCAAGUCGAAUGUGAAAGCCCCCCGGCUUAACUGGGGGAGGGUCAUUCGAUACUGUUUAACUUGAAGGCAGGAGAGGGUAGUGGAAUUCCCGGUGUAGUGGUGAAAUGCGUAGAUAUCGGGAGGAACACCAGUGGCGAAGGCGACUACCUGGCCUGUUCUUGACGCUGAGGCGCGAAAGCUAGGGGAGCAAACGGG